UCAAGAAACUAAGGGCGCAAGGCGGAUGCCUUGGCACCAGGAGGCGACGAAGGACGUGACAAGCAACGAAAACCUCGAGUAGGAGCAAAUAUCCAGUGACUCGGGGGAAUCCGAAUGGGGAAACCUACUAGACACACUCUAGUAUCCAUACGUAAAUACAUAGCGUAUGGAAGCGAAUGUUCUGAACUGAAACAUCUAAGUAGGAACAAGAAAAGAAAGAAAACUCGAUUCUCCAAGUAGCGGCGAGCGAACAGAGAACAGCCCAUUAAAGUAAGACUAAACUGAUAGACAAAUCUUAUGGAAAGAAGAACCAAAGAAAGUAACAGUCUUGUAGUCGAAAUCAGAAUAGAGACACUUUAAGAAGAGUACCACGGAGCACGUGAAAUUCUGUGGGAAGAUAGGGGGACCACCCCCUAAGGCUAAAUACUACCUGGUGACCGAUAGCGAAUAGUACCGUGAGGGAAAGGUGAAAAGAACCCCGGGAGGGGAGUGAAAUAGAACCUGAAACCUUGCGCCUACAAGCAGACAGAGGAAGAAGACUUCUAAUGUCGUACUUUUUGUAGAACGGGCCAGCGAGUUACGAUACGUAGCAAGAUUAAACAUUUAAGAUGUGAAGUCGUAGGGAAACCGAGUCUUAAUAGGGCAAAAGUUGCGUGUUGUAGACCCGAAACCGGGUGAUCUAUCCAUGGGCAGAGUGAAGGUAAAGUAAAAUUUACUGGAGGCUCGAACCGGGUAGCGUUUAAAAGCUAUCGGAUGACCUGUGGAUAGGGGUGAAAAGCCAAUCGAACUCGGAUAUAGCUGGUUCUCCUCGAAAUAGCUUUAGGGCUAGCCUUGUUUUAGAUUACAGGAGGUAGAGCACUGAAUAGUCUAGGGGAAGUAAUUCUACCGAAACUUAUCAAACUCCGAAUGCCUGAAAAUCGAUGAACAGGAGUCAGACCAUGAGGGAUAAGCUUCAUAGUCAAAAGGGAAACAGCCCAGACCACCAGUUAAGGUCCCAAAAUACAGAUUAAGUGGGAAAGGAUGUAAUACUACUCAGACAACCAGGAUGUUGGCUCAGAAGCAGCCAUACAUUUAAAGAGUGCGUAAUAGCUCACUGGUCAAGUGGUAAUGCGCCGAAGAUGAACGGGGCUAAAUCUGAUACCGAAACUGUGGGAUAGAAAAGCAAUUAUGCGAGAAGUAUGNNNNNNNNNNNNNNNNAAACAAAAUUUGUGAAAACACAAAGCGUAAAACUAUUAAACGAUACAAUUUCUAAAACACUUAACAACAUACAACUGGCAUAAUAGCUUUUCUAUCGGUAGAGGAGCGUUGUAUAUGAGAAGAAGCAAAAAGCGUAAGCAAUUGUGGAUUAUAUACAAGUGAGAAUGCUGGCAUGAGUAGCGAAAAGGGAUGUGAGAAUCAUCCCCGUCGAAAGCCCAAGGAUUCCUGAGCAAGGCUCGUCCUCUCAGGGUAAGUCGGGACCUAAGGCGAGGCCGAAAGGCGUAGUCGAUGGACAACAGGUAGAAAUUCCUGUACUACAAGAUUGUGAUUGAGAGAAGUACUGACGCAGAAGGAAAAGUCGAGCGUGCGAAUGGUUGUGCACGUCCAAAUAACAAGCCAGAAUAUACAGGCAAAUCCGUAUAUUCGUCAACGUAAGUUAUGAUGGGGAGCAGAAAGAUGCGAAGCGACAGAUUCAAACUGCCAAGAAAAGGUGCUAUCGAAUAAUCUUGUACCCGUACCGCAAACCGACACAGGUAGGCAAGAAGAGAAUUCUAAGACGCGCGGAAGAACCUUUGUUAAGGAACUCGGCAAAAUAAUCCCGUAAGUUAGCGAGAAGGGAUGCCUAAGAAAUUAGGUCGCAGAGAAUAGGCCCAAGCGACUGUUUACCAAAAACACAAGUAUCUGCUAAAUCGAAAGAUGAAGUAUAGGUGCUGACACCUGCCCGGUGCUGGAAGGUCAAGGGGACUUGUUAGAGCAAUCGAAGCAACGAACUUAAGCCCCAGUAAACGGCGGCCGUAACUAUAACGGUCCUAAGGUAGCGAAAUUCCUUGUCGGGUAAGUUCCGACCCGCACGAAAGGUGUAACGAGAUGCGACUUACCCACGGUAGGACGGAAAGACCCCGUGGAGCUUUACUGCAGGUUGACAUUGAAUUUUGGGAUUAAAUGUACAGGAUAGGUGGGAGACGAAGAAGCAAGCUCGCCAGAGUUUGCAGAGUCACUGUUGGGAUACCACCCUUUUAAUUCUAAAGUUCUAACUAGUUACCAUGAAGCUGGUAAUAGGACACUGUCAGUCGGGCAGUUUGACUGGGGCGGUCGCCUCCAAAAAAGUAACGGAGGCGUUCAAAGGUUCGCUCAGAAUGGUUGGAAAUCAUUCAAAGAGUACAAAGGCAAAAGCGAGCUUAACUGCGAGACAUACAGGUCGAGCAGAGACGAAAGUCGGACUUAGUGAUCCGGUGGUACCGAGUGGAAGGGCCAUCGCUCAACGGAUAAAAGCUACCCCGGGGAUAACAGGCUUAUCUCCCCCAAGAGUCCACAUC
rnacentral:rRNA from 1 species